rnacentral:rRNA from 1 species
AGACCCGAAACCCGGUGAUCUAGCCAUGGGCAGGUUGAAGGUUGGGUAACACUAACUGGAGGACCGAACCGACUAAUGUUGAAAAAUUAGCGGAUGACCUGUGGCUGGGGGUGAAAGGCCAAUCAAACCGGGAGAUAGCUGGUUCUCCCCGAAAGCUAUUUAGGUAGCGCCUCGUGAAUUCAUCUCCGGGGGUAGAGCACUGUUUCGGCUAGGGGGCCAUCCCGGCUUACCAACCCGAUGCAAACUGCGAAUACCGGAGAAUGUUAUCACGGGAGACACACGGCGGGUGCUAACGUCCGUCGUGAAGAGGGAAACAACCCAGACCGCCAGCUAAGGUCCCAAAGUCAUGGUUAAGUGGGAAACGAUGUGGGAAGGCCCAGACAGCCAGGAUGUUGGCUUAGAAGCAGCCAUCAUUUAAAGAAAGCGUAAUAGCUCACUGGUCGAGUCGGCCUGCGCGGAAGAUGUAACGGGGCUAAACCAUGCACCGAAGCUGCGGCAGCGACGCUGAUGCGUUGUUGGGUAGGGGAGCGUUCUGUAAGCCUGUGAAGGUGGCCUGUGAGGGUUGCUGGAGGUAUCAGAAGUGCGAAUGCUGACAUAAGUAACGAUAAAGCGGGUGAAAAGCCCGCUCGCCGGAAGACCAAGGGUUCCUGUCCAACGUUAAUCGGGGCAGGGUGAGUCGACCCCUAAGGCGAGGCCGAAAGGCGUAGUCGAUGGGAAACGGGUUAAUAUUCCCGUACUUGGUGUUACUGCGAAGGGGGGACGGAGAAGGCUAUGUUGGCCGGGCGACGGUUGUCCCGGUUUAAGCGUGUAGGUGUGUGUUCCAGGUAAAUCCGGUUCACUUUAACACUGAGGCGUGACGACGAGGCACUACGGUGCUGAAGCAACAAAUGCCCUGCUUCCAGGAAAAGCCUCUAAGCAUCAGGUAACAUCAAAUCGUACCCCAAACCGACACAGGUGGUCAGGUAGAGAAUACCAAGGCGCUUGAGAGAACUCGGGUGAAGGAACUAGGCAAAAUGGUGCCGUAACUUCGGGAGAAGGCACGCUGACACGUAGGUGAAGUGAUUUACUCAUGGAGCUGAAGUCAGUCGAAGAUACCAGCUGGCUGCAACUGUUUAUUAAAAACACAGCACUGUGCAAACACGAAAGUGGACGUAUACGGUGUGACGCCUGCCCGGUGCCGGAAGGUUAAUUGAUGGGGUCAGCGCAAGCGAAGCUCCUGAUCGAAGCCCCGGUAAACGGCGGCCGUAACUAUAACGGUCCUAAGGUAGCGAAAUUCCUUGUCGGGUAAGUUCCGACCUGCACGAAUGGCGUAAUGAUGGCCAGGCUGUCUCCACCCGAGACUCAGUGAAAUUGAACUCGCUGUGAAGAUGCAGUGUACCCGCGGCAAGACGGAAAGACCCCGUGAACCUUUACUAUAGCUUGACACUGAACAUUGAGCCUUGAUGUGUAGGAUAGGUGGGAGGCUUUGAAGUGUGGACGCCAGUCUGCAUGGAGCCGACCUUGAAAUACCACCCUUUAAUGUUUGAUGUUCUAACGUGGACCCGUGAUCCGGGUUGCGGACAGUGUCUGGUGGGUAGUUUGACUGGGGCGGUCUCCUCCUAAAGAGUAACGGAGGAGCACGAAGGUUGGCUAAUCCUGGUCGGACAUCAGGAGGUUAGUGCAAUGGCAUAAGCCAGCUUGACUGCGAGCGUGACGGCGCGAGCAGGUGCGAAAGCAGGUCAUAGUGAUCCGGUGGUUCUGAAUGGAAGGGCCAUCGCUCAACGGAUAAAAGGUACUCCGGGGAUAACAGGCUGAUACCGCCCAAGAGUUCAUAUCGACGGCGGUGUUUGGCACCUCGAUGUCGGCUCAUCACAUCCUGGGGCUGAAGUAGGUCCCAAGGGUAUGGCUGUUCGCCAUUUAAAGUGGUACGCGAGCUGGGUUUAGAACGUCGUGAGACAGUUCGGUCCCUAUCUGCCGUGGGCGCUGGAGAACUGAGGGGGGCUGCUCCUAGUACGAGAGGACCGGAGUGGACGCAUCACUGGUGUUCGGGUUGUCAUGCCAAUGGCACUGCCCGGUAGCUAAAUGCGGAAGAGAUAAGUGCUGAAAGCAUCUAAGCACGAAACUUGCCCCGAGAUGAGUUCUCCCUGAGACUUUAAGUCUCCUGAAGGAACGUUGAAGACGACGACGUUG